rnacentral:rRNA from 2 species
ACACGACUCUCGGCAAUGGAUAUCUCGGCUCUCGCAUCGAUGAAGAGCGCAGCGAAAUGCGAUACGUGGUGCGAAUUGCAGAAUCCCGUGAACCAUCGAGUCUUUGAACGCAAGUUGCGCCCGAGGCUGAUCGGCCAAGGGCACGUCUGCCUGGGCGUCAAGC